GAUGAACGCUGGCGGCGUGCCUAAUACAUGCCAGUCGAGCGAACAGAUGAGGAGCUUGCUCCUCUGACGUUAGCGGCGGACGGGUGAGUAACACGUGGAUAACCUACCUAUAAGACUGGGAUAACUUCGGGAAACCGGAGCUAAUACCGGAUAAUAUAUUGAACCGCAUGGUUCAAUAGUGAAAGACGGUUUUGCUGUCACUUAUAGAUGGAUCCGCGCCGCAUUAGCUAGUUGGUAAGGUAACGGCUUACCAAGGCAACGAUGCGUAGCCGACCUGAGAGGGUGAUCGGCCACACUGGAACUGAGACACGGUCCAGACUCCUACGGGAGGCAGCAGUAGGGAAUCUUCCGCAAUGGGCGAAAGCCUGACGGAGCAACGCCGCGUGAGUGAUGAAGGUCUUCGGAUCGUAAAACUCUGCUAUUAGGGAAGAACAAAUGUGUAAGUAACUAUGCACGUCUUGACGGUACCUAAUCAGAAAGCCACGGCUAACUACGUG
rnacentral:rRNA from 1 species